UACGGGGGGGGCAAGCGUUGUUCGGAAUUACUGGGCGUAAAGGGCUCGUAGGCGGCCAACUAAGUCGGAUGUGAAAUCCCCAGGCUUAACCUGGGAACUGCAUCCGAUACUGGAUGGCUUGAAUCCGGGAGAGGGAUGCAGAAUUCCAGGUGUAGCGGUGAAAUGCGUAGAUAUCUGGAGGAAUACCAGUGGCGAAGGCGGCAUCCUGGACCGGCAUUGACGCUGAUGAGCGAAAGCUAGGGGAGCAAACGGG
rnacentral:rRNA from 1 species